rnacentral:rRNA from 1 species
UACGUAGGGUGCAAGCGUUGUCCGGAAUUAUUGGGCGUAAAGAGCUCGUAGGCGGUCUGUCACGUCGGCUGUGAAAACCCGAGGCUCAACCUCAGGCCUGCAGUCGAUACGGGCAAACUAGAGUACUGCAGGGGAGACUGGAAUUCCUGGUGUAGCGGUGAAAUGCGCAGAUAUCGGGAGGAACACCGGUGGCGAAGGCGGUUCUCUGGGCCUUACCUGACGCUGAGGAGCGAAAGCGUGGGGAGCGAACAGG